rnacentral:rRNA from 1 species
AACGGGGCUAAACUUACCACCGAAGCUACGGGCUUGAACUUAGUUCAAGCGGUAGGAGAGCGUCGUAACCGGGCUGAAGUCGUACCGUAAGGAGCGGUGGACUGGUUACGAGUGAGAAUGUUGGCAUCAGUAGCGAGAUGUGGGUGAGAAUCCCACAGGCCGAAAACCUAAGGUUUCCUCAGGAAGGUUCGUCCGCUGAGGGUUAGUCGGGACCUAAGCCGAGGCCGAAAGGCGUAGGUGAUGGACAACUGGUUGAUAUUCCAGUACCACUACCAUCGUUAUUAUCGAUGGCGUAACGCAGGAGGAUAGUGUGUGCUAGCUAUUGGAUGCUAGUCUAAGCGUUUAGGCAGUGAGAGUAGGCAAAUCCGCUCUCAUAAUGCUGAGGCGUGAUGGGGAAGGUUCUACGGAACUGAAGUACAUGAUUCCACGCUGCCAAGAAAAGCGUCUAGAGAGAGAAGUAGUGCCCGUACCGCAAACCGACACAGGUAGGUGAGGAGAGAAUCCUAAGGCCGGCGGAAGAAUUACAGUUAAGGAACUCGGCAAAUUGACCCCGUAAGUUCGCGAGAAGGGGUGCCUACGAGAGUAGGCCGCAGAGAAUAGGCCCAAGCAACUGUUUAGCAAAAACACAGGUCUCUGCUAAAGCGUAAGCUGAUGUAUAGGGGCUGACGCCUGCCCGGUGCUGGAAGGUUAAGGGGAACACUUAGCGCAAGCGAAGGUGUGAACUUAAGCCCCAGUAAACGGCGGCCGUAACUAUAACGGUCCUAAGGUAGCGAAAUUCCUUGUCAGGUAAGUUCUGACCCGCACGAAUGGCGUAAUGACUUGGGCACUGUCUCAACUGUAAAUCCGGCGAAGUUGUAGUGCGAGUGAAGAUGCUCGCUACCCGCGAUUGGACGGAAAGACCCCGUAGAGCUUUACUGUAGCUUAGCAUUGAGUUUUGGUAUUGUCUGUACAGGAUAGGUGGGAGACUAGGAAACCAGGGCGUCAGCCUUGGUGGAGUCAACCUUGGGAUACCACCCUGACAGUACUGAAAUUCUAACUGGCGGCCAUGAAUCUGGUCACAGGACAUUGUUAGGUGGGCAGUUUGACUGGGGCGGUCGCCUCCUAAAAAGUAACGGAGGCGCCCAAAGGUUCCCUCAGAACGGUCGGAAAUCGUUCGAAGAGUGCAAAGGCAGAAGGGAGCCUGACUGCGACACCCACAAGUGGAGCAGGGACGAAAGUCGGGCUUAGUGAUCCGGUGGUACCUCGUGGGAGGGCCAUCGCUCAACGGAUAAAAGCUACCUCGGGGAUAACAGGCUGAUCUCCCCCAAGAGUCCACAUCGACGGGGAGGUUUGGCACCUCGAUGUCGGCUCGUCGCAUCCUGGGGCUGAAGUAGGUCCCAAGGGUUGGGCUGUUCGCCCAUUAAAGCGGCACGCGAGCUGGGUUCAGAACGUCGUGAGACAGUUCGGUCCCUAUCCGUCGCGGGCGUAGGAAAUUUGAGAGGAGCUGUCCUUAGUACGAGAGGACCGGGAUGGACUGACCUCUGGUGUACCAGUUGUUCCGCCAGGAGCACAGCUGGGUAGCUAAGUCGGGAAUGGAUAAACGCUGAAAGCAUCUAAGCGUGAAGCCAACCUCAAGAUGAGAUUUCCCAUAGCGUAAGCUAGUAAGAUCCCUUGAAGAACACAAGGUUGAUAGGUCGGGGGUGUAAGCAUGGUAACAUGUUCAGCUGACCGAUACUAAUAGAUCGAGGGCUUGACCAAAU